UACGGAGGGAGCUAGCGUUGUUCGGAAUUACUGGGCGUAAAGCGCACGUAGGCGGCUUUGUAAGUUAGAGGUGAAAGCCCGGAGCUCAACUCCGGAAUUGCCUUUAAGACUGCAUCGCUUGAAUCCAGGAGAGGUGAGUGGAAUUCCGAGUGUAGAGGUGAAAUUCGUAGAUAUUCGGAAGAACACCAGUGGCGAAGGCGACUCGCUGGACAGACAUUGACGCUGAGGUGCGAAAGCGUGGGGAGCAAACAGG
rnacentral:rRNA from 1 species